rnacentral:rRNA from 1 species
AACGAACGCUGGCGGCAGGCCUAACACAUGCAAGUCGAACGCCGUAGCAAUACGGAGUGGCAGACGGGUGCGUAACACGUGGGAACAUACCCUUUGGUUCGGAAUAACUCAGGGAAACUUGAGCUAAUACCGGAUAAGCCCUUACGGGGAAAGAUUUAUCGCCAAAGGAUUGGCCCGCGUCUGAUUAGCUAGUUGGUGAGGUAACGGCUCACCAAGGCGACGAUCAGUAGCUGGUCUGAGAGGAUGAUCAGCCACACUGGGACUGAGACACGGCCCAGACUCCUACGGGAGGCAGCAGUGGGGAAUAUUGCACAAUGGGCGGAAGCCUGAUGCAGCGACGCCGCGUGAGGGAUGACGGCC